rnacentral:rRNA from 1 species
AUUGAACGCUGGCGGCAGGCCUAACACAUGCAAGUCGAGCGAGCGGGGGAUGGGUGAGUAAUGUAUGGGAAACAGCCUGAUGGAGGGGGAGAAAUACUGGAAACGGUAGCUAAUACCGCAUACCAUCUGAUGUGCCCAGAGGGGAUUAGCUAGUAGGUGGGGGAACAGCUCACCUAGUCGACGAUCCCUAGCUGGUCUGAGAGGAUGACCAGCCACACUGGAACUGAGACACGGUCCAGACUCCUACGGGAGGCAGCAGUGGGGAAUAUUGCACAAUGGGCGCAAGCCUGAUGCAGCCAUGCCGCGUGUGUGAAGAAGGCCUUCGGGUUGUAAAGCACUUUCAGCGGGGAGGCGUUACCCGCAGAAGAAGCACCGGCUAACUCCGUGCCAGCAGCCGCGGUAAUAA